rnacentral:rRNA from 1 species
UGCGGGACUUUCCGUGCUGUCUCUGCCGGGACAGCGAGGUGUGAUGUGCAGGCAUAGGUGAACGGUCUUGAAAGGCCGGCCAGAGAGGGUGUGAGCCCCGUAACCGUAAUGUUGUGUACCGCCUGGGAAGUAUCCCAAGUAGCACGGGGCCCGAGAAAUCCCGUGCGAAUCUGUCAGGACCACCUGAUAAGCCUAAAUACUCCCUAAUGACCGAUAGCGGACCAGUACCGUGAGGGAAAGGUGAAAAGUACCCCGGGAGGGGAGUGAAACAGUACCUGAAACCGUGUGCUUACAAUCCGUCGGAGCCAGUCUGAUUCUGGUGACGGCGUGCCUUUUGAAGAAUGAGCCUGCGAGUUAGUGUUACGUCGCGAGGUUAACCCGUGUGGGGCAGCCGUAGCGAAAGCGAGUCUGAAUAGGGCGUUGCAGUGGCGUGAUCUAGACCCGAAGCGAAGUGAUCUACCCAUGGCCAGGUUGAAGCGACGGUAAGACGUCGUGGAGGACCGAACCCACUUCAGUUGAAAAUGGAGGGGAUGAGCUGUGGGUAGGGGUGAAAGGCCAAUCAAACUUCGUGAUAGCUGGUUCUCCCCGAAAUGCAUUUAGGUGCAGCGUUGCGUGUUUCUUACCGGAGGUAGAGCUACUGGAUGGCUAAUGGGCCCUACAAGGUUACUGACGUCAGCCAAACUCCGAAUGCCGGUAAGUGAGAGCGCAGCAGUGAGACUGUGGGGGAUAAGCUUCAUAGUCGAGAGGGAAACAGCCCAGACCACCAACUAAGGCCCCUAAGCGUGUGCUAAGUGGGAAAGGAUGUGGAGUUGCGAAGACAACCAGGAGGUUGGCUUAGAAGCAGCCAUCCUUAAAAGAGUGCGUAAUAGCUCACUGGUCAAGUGAUUCCGCGCCGACAAUGUAGCGGGGCUCAAGUACACCGCCGAAGUUGUGGCAUUCACAUUUUAUCCAAGCCUUUGUGGUUCAGGAGUGUGGAUGGGUAGGGGAGCGUCGUGUGGGCAGUGAAGUCGCGGUGUAAACCAGCGGUGGAGCCUACACGAGUGAGAAUGCAGGCAUGAGUAGCGAAAGACGGGUGAGAAACCCGUCCGCCGAAUGAUCAAGGGUUCCAGGGUCAAGCUAAUCUGCCCUGGGUAAGUCGGGACCUAAGGCGAGGCCGACAGGCGUAGUCGAUGGACAACGGGUUGAUAUUCCCGUACCGGCGAAAAACCGCCCAUGCUGAACAGGGGAUACUAACUGCCCGAAGCCUGACCAAUCACCCUUGUGGUGUGCGGUUUUUGGUGGAGCGCGGGACCUGAUCCUGGGAGGUAAGCGUAUUAACAGGUGUGACGCAGGAAGGUAGCCGAGCCGGGCGAUGGUUGUCCCGGUCCAAGGAUGUAGGGCGAACGGUAGGCAAAUCCGCCGUUCAUGAUGCCUGAGACCUGACGGGACCCCCGUAUGGGGGGAUUCGGUGAUCCUAUGCUGCCUAGAAAAGCAUCGACGCGAGGUUUUAGCCGCCCGUACCCCAAACCGACACAGGUGAUCAGGUAGAGAAUACUAAGGCGAUCGAGAGAAUUAUGGUUAAGGAACUCGGCAAAAUGCCCCCGUAACUUCGGGAGAAGGGGGGCCCCAACCUUGAACACCACACGCUGGUGGGAGGGGAUCGGGGCCGCAGAGACCAGGGGGAAGCGACUGUUUACUAAAAACACAGGUCCGUGCGAAGUCGCAAGACGAUGUAUACGGACUGACUCCUGCCCGGUGCUGGAAGGUUAAGAGGACCGGUUAGCCGCAAGGCGAAGCUGAGAAUUUAAGCCCCAGUAAACGGCGGUGGUAACUAUAACCAUCCUAAGGUAGCGAAAUUCCUUGUCGGGUAAGUUCCGACCUGCACGAAUGGAGUAACGACUUCCCCGCUGUCUCAACCAUAAACUCGGCGAAAUUGCAGUACGAGUAAAGAUGCUCGUUACGCGCAGCAGGACGGAAAGACCCCGAGACCUUUACUAUAGUUUGGUAUUGGUGUUCGGAGUGGCUUGUGUAGGAUAGG